UACGUAGGGGGCUAGCGUUGUCCGGAAUCAUUGGGCGUAAAGAGCGCGUAGGCGGCCAGAUAAGUCCGGUGUGAAAGUCAAAGGCUCAACCUUUGAAUGCCGCUGGAAACUGUCUGGCUAGAGUCCGGGAGGGGCGAGUGGAAUUCCUGGUGUAGCGGUGAAAUGCGCAGAUAUCAGGAGGAACACCGGUGGCGAAGGCGGGUCUCUGGGCCGAUACUGACGCUGGAGGAGCGAAAGCGUGGGGAG
rnacentral:rRNA from 1 species